rnacentral:misc_RNA from 1 species
GGCGGCCUAAUGGCUUCGGGCGCAACUUGCGUUCAAAGACUCGAUGGUUCACGGGAUUCUGCAAUUCACACCAAGUAUCGCAUUUCGCUGCGUUCUUCAUCGAUGCUACGGUCUUACU